CUAGCCGUAAACGAUGGAUACUAGGCGUUGUGAGUAUCGACCCUCACAGUGUCGUAGCUAACGCGUUAAGUAUCCCGCCUGGGGAGUACGCGCGCAAGCGUGAAACUCAAAGGAAUUGACGGGGGCCCGCACAAGCGGUGGAGUAUGUGGUUUAAUUCGAUGCAACGCGAAGAACCUUACCAGGACUUGACAUGUCGCGAAUCUCAGGGAAACUUGAGAGUGCCUUCGGGGGCGCGAACACAGGUGGUGC
rnacentral:rRNA from 1 species